GAUGAACGCUGGCGGCGUGCUUAAUACAUGCAAGUCGAACGAAUUGAAGAUGUGCUUGCACAUCUGAUGUUAGUGGCGAACGGGUGAGUAAUACAUAGGCAACUUGCCCCAAGGACUGGGAUAACACUUAGAAAUGAGUGCUAAUACCGGAUAGGUAAUACAAAGGCAUAUUAGUAUUAUUAAAGUUGGGUAUCCAACACCAUGGGAUGGGCUUAUGCCGUAUUAGCUAGUUGGUGAGAUAAAAGCCCACCAAGGCGAUGAUACAUAGCUGGUCUGAGAGGAUGAACAGCCACAUUGGGACUGAGACACGGCCCAGACUCCUACGGGAGGCAGCAGUAAGGAAUUUUCGGCAAUGGAGGAAACUCUGACCGAGCAACGCCGCGUGAGUGAUGAAGGCCUUCGGGUUGUAAAGCCCUGUUGUAAAGGAAGAAUGUAUAGAAAAGGAAAUGUUUCUAUAAUGACGGUACUUUACUAGAAAGUCACGGCUUACUACGUGCCAGCAGCCGCCGUAA
rnacentral:rRNA from 1 species